rnacentral:lncRNA from 1 species
AAGUGAAAGUAAACUAAUAGCAGUCAAAUUUUAUUUUUCACUUUCCGGAUGUCGGAAUGACAUGAAACUUUAAAUCUAGCCUCAUAAAAAUAAUUCAAACAUAAUCCCAAGUUUUCAUAAUUUUCUGACAUUGUCAAUUUUCUGCUAAAAUAUCAGCCCCGUUUCUCACAGAAAAUUCUAAAUCGUCUGUUUCUGUUCCGAUUUCAGCACAAGUUAUUUUUGACUUAUGUUUUACUUCUUUAAGUCCAAUAAAAAUAGUAUCUCACACUAUUUUUAUUUAUAUUUACCUUUAUAUUAAAAAAUUCGGUAUAUUACAGUAGUCACGCACCAACCGUCAUUGCAAAAG